rnacentral:rRNA from 1 species
AGCCUGAACGCUGGCGGCGUGGCUAAGACAUGCAAGUCGAACGGGUGUAGCAAUACACCAGUGGCGGACGGGUGAGUAAUGUAUCGCUAACGUGCCCUGGAGCCAGGGAUAGCUGACCCGAAAGGGCAGGUAAUACCUGAUGACAUAACCUUAUCGCAUGACAAGGUUCUCAAAGCAGCAAUGCUAC